rnacentral:rRNA from 1 species
GGGUUGUGAGGUUAAGCGACUAAGCGUACACGGUGGAUGCCCUGGCAGUCAGAGGCGAUGAAGGACGUGCUAAUCUGCGAAAAGCGUCGGUAAGGUGAUAUGAACCGUUAUAACCGGCGAUGUCCGAAUGGGGAAACCCAGUGCAAUUCGUUGCACUAUCGUUAACUGAAUACAUAGGUUAACGAGGCGAACCGGGGGAACUGAAACAUCUAAGUACCCCGAGGAAAAGAAAUCAACCGAGAUUCCCCCAGUAGCGGCGAGCGAACGGGGAGCAGCCCAGAGUCUGAAUCAGCUUGUGUGUUAGUGGAACGGUCUGGAAAGUCCGACGGUACAGGGUGAUAGUCCCGUACACCAAAAUGCACAGGCUGUGAACUCGAAGAGUAGGGCGGGACACGUGGUAUCCUGUCUGAAUAUGGGGGGACCAUCCUCCAAGGCUAAAUACUCCUGACUGACCGAUAGUGAACCAGUACCGUGAGGGAAAGGCGAAAA